AUACUUACCUGGCAAGGGAGACACCGUGAUCAAGAAGGCGGUUCACCCAGGGCGAGGCUCAGCCAUUGCACUCCGGCUGUGCUGACCCCUGCGAAUUUCCCAAAUGUGGAAAUCUCGAUUGCAUAAUUUCUGGUAGUGGGGACUGCGUUCGCGCUCUCCCCU
rnacentral:snRNA from 1 species